rnacentral:rRNA from 1 species
UACAGAGGUCCCGAGCGUUUGUUCGGAUUCAUUGGGGCGUAAAGGGUGCGUAGGCGGUUUUUUAAGUUUGAUGUGAAAUCCCGGGGCUCAACCCUGGAAUUGCAUUGAAUACUGAAGAACUAGAGAUCUGGAGAGGAAACUGGAAUUUACGGUGUAGCAGUGAAAUGCGUAGAGAUCGUAAGGAAGACCAGUGGCGAAGGCGAGUUUCUGGACAGAUACUGACGCUGAGGCACGAAGGCCAGGGGAGCAAACGGG